rnacentral:lncRNA from 1 species
CUCCUUAUUAAUUACGGAUUUAUGGUAUUGAUUUUAGUUUUUGUAUAUUUUUUUUUAGAUUAUUUUAUAUUAUAAUAUAUGUAUUGUUUAAUAGAACUUAAUCUUCAUCUAUUAGUAAGAAAGUAUUUUAAAACGGAUUGUGCUUAGUACAUUUAGUAUCAUAAUCAAGUCAAAAUAUGCAGUACUAAGUUUAUAUAAAAUGGUAUUUACAAUUAGGUUUUUUUUCAUUGUUAUAAAUUAGUAUGAUAAUUCUAAAUAACUUAAAAUGCUGCUGAAAGCAUGUUUUAAAAGUUAUACAUGCGUUUUUUACGUAUUUUUUUGGAAUUGUUCUAAGCUCUUAAAAUAAAAUAUUUUUAAACAAAAAAAAUAUAAAUUAAAAAAGAAAAAUAAAUAAAAUCGUUUUUUUUUGCUUUUAUUUAUUAAAUAUUAUAAACAUUUUAUAAAUGCAGUACUUAUUUUAUAAAUACAAUACUUGUGGAAACCGAUGUUUAUAUAAUUUAUGGUAAAACAUUUAAAAAGCACUAUAAAGUGGUACCAACUUCUUUUUUUUCGUUACUUUUUUUUGUAGUAAUCAUUAAAUAAAAUAUAUUAUACAAAUUUAUUUUUUAAUGGUUUUUUUUUUUUUUUUUGGUACAUUGUACAAUCCUAGGCAUAAAAAAUAAAAAAUUACGUAAGUUAAAAUUGCAUAUAUUUUAUGUAUAUGAAUAGAUAUAUAUUUAAAAAUAUGUUUUAAAAUAAAUAUAUAAUUAAGGAAUUAAACAUGAAAUUAUUCUUUUCUAUACUAGCAAUUAAAUUUAUUGUGUUUAUACAAUUGCGCCUAAUUUACUGUAAGGAAGCAUCUUAUGAAUACCCGACAUUUGUGAGAAAUAACAAAAAAAAGAUUCAAACUGAUAUAUUAAUGAACACAGUAGAAAAUUUAAAUAAAAUACUAUUGGACACUUUAAAAUUAGAAAUCGAAAAAGCAAAAAUGUUACGAAAUAAAACGACAGUAUUUAAGGAAACGGAUUUACUAAACGAAGGAUCAUUAUUAAAUACACAAUUAUUAAGUACAUCAACGGAAUUAAAACAUAUUUCGGAAGAAUUAAACAUUAUCUCUCAUAUUUUAACAAUCGUUGACAAACGUUUUGCAGAUAAGAUGCUACAUUUGUUGAAUAAACAAAUUUAUAAUAAAAAAAAUUACGUUAGAUAUUUUGUGUAUGAUUAAAAAUGAACUACAACUGAUUUAUGAUGAACAUGAUAAUGAAAUGGAAUAUAUAACAUCCAAUAAUUUUAAAUAUACUUUUUUGUAUGCAUUUAUGAUAAUUUUUCAAUUAUUUGUUAAUCCUAUAAAUAUGACAAUGGUCAUUGGUAGUAUUUUACCGACGGUACAUGCAAAACAUUUAGCUUUACGUAUGCGUGCUAAACGAAAAAAUGAAAAGAGUCAUAAAAAAUUUUGUUAAUAGCACUAACUAAUACGUAAUAUAUUUUGCAAUAAAAAUACAUAUGAUUAUAACCGUAAUUAUAUA